GAUGAACGCUGGCGGCGUGCCUAAUACAUGCAAGUCGAGCGAACAGAUGAGGAGCUUGCUCCUCUGACGUUAGCGGCGGACGGGUGAGUAACACGUGGAUAACCUACCUAUAAGACUGGGAUAACUUCGGGAAACCGGAGCUAAUACCGGAUAAUAUAUUGAACCGCAUGGUUCAAUAGUGAAAGACGGUUUUGCUGUCACUUAUAGAUGGAUCCGCGCCGCAUUAGCUAGUUGGUAAGGUAACGGCUUACCAAGGCAACGAUGCGUAGCCGACCUGAGAGGGUGAGCGGCCACACUGGAACUGAGACACGGUCCAGACUCCUACGGGAGGCAGCAGUAGGGAAUCUGCCGCAAUGGGCGAAAGCUUGACGGAGCAACGCCGCGUGAGUGAUGAAGGUCUUCGGAUCGUAAAACUCUGUUAUUAGGGAAGAACAAAUGUGUAAGUAACUAUGCACGUCUUGACGGUACCUAAUCAGAAAGCCACGGCUAACUACG
rnacentral:rRNA from 1 species